CGCAAUGGACAAUUUAUCUUUGAUUUUCGUUAAAUCCAUUUUCCGUUAUUCCACUCCCUUGAACCAUUUCGACGAGAACUUCAAGUUUUCGAACGAAAUAUCAACAUAUUUGUUGUUUUCCUAGUAGGUGGGACCCAUUUGAGUUGUUCAGAUAGUCUUCAUGUUCGAAAAAUUUGUGUUCAUCCAUUGGCACAAAGUGUUUCAGGCACGUCCGAAUUUUGGUGGAUUUUUUAUUUCACCUGGAAUUCCUCAUAUCCAAGACCUGCAUCCCAAUGCAGACUUUGUCUCGAGCGUGAGCCGAAAAAUGGAUGUUCGCGGAUUAAAUCAACACCCUUUACACAUUCAGAAGGAAAAUCAGAUUCUCGUAAAUUGAUAAUAUAUUAUUUAUGAAUAUAUGUUCCAAAUUUGUUAUUGUGAUUAUUAUUUUAUUCAUAAACAAUAGGACAAAAUUGUUAGAUUAAAGCGUAUUAAGUGCAUCCACAGACUUGAAUGGAAUAA